UCGGGAAUUUUGGGCAAUGGGCGAAAGCCUGACCCAGCAACGCCGCGUGAAGGAUGAAGUAUUUCGGUAUGUAAACUUCGUAAGAAUAGGAAGAAUAAAUGACGGUACUAUUUGUAAGGUCCGGCUAACUACGUGCCAGCAGCCGCGGUAAUACGUAGGGACCAAGCGUUGUUCGGAUUUACUGGGCGUAAAGGGCGCGUAGGCGGUGUGUCAAGUCAGUUGUGAAAUCUUCGAGCUUAACUCGGAACGGUCAACUGAUACUGUCACACUAGAGUACAGAAGGGGCAAUCGGAAUUCUUGGUGUAGCGGUGAAAUGCGUAGAUAUCAAGAGGAACACCUGAGGCGAAGGCGGGUUGCUGGGCUGAUACUGACGCUGAGGCGCGAAAGCUAGGGUAGCAAACGGGAUUAGAUACCCACGUAGUCCCUGAGCGGGCUGGCAAGGCGCAU
rnacentral:rRNA from 1 species